AGGAAGUGGGAUGACGUCAAUCAUCAUGCCCUUAUGUUCUGGGCUACACACGUGCUACAAUGGCCGGUACAGACGGACGCAAAGCCGCGAGGUGGAGCAAAUCCUAAAAAGCCGGUCUCAGUUCGGAUUGCAGGCUGCAAUUCGCCUGCAUGAAGUCGGAAUCGCUAGUAAUCGCAGGUCAGCAUACUGCGGUGAAUACGUUCCCGGGCCUU
rnacentral:rRNA from 1 species